CCUACGGGAGGCAGCAGUGGGGAAUAUUGCGCAAUGGGCGAAAGCCUGACGCAGCGACGCCGCGUGAGGGAUGAAGGUCUUCGGAUUGUAAACCUCUGUCAGCAGGGAAGAACGGUCACUGUGCUAAUCAGCAGUGAAUUGACGGUACCUGCAAAGGAAGCACCGGCUAACUCCGUGCCAGCAGCCGCGGUAAUACGGAGGGUGCGAGCGUUAAUCGGAAUUACUGGGCGUAAAGCGCUCGUAGGCGGUAUGUCAAGUCAAGGGUGAAAUCCCCGCGCUUAACGUGGGAACUGCCUUUGAAACUGGCAAACUGGAGUGUGUGAGAGGAGAGUGGAAUUCCAGGUGUAGGAGUGAAAUGCGUAGAGAUCUGGAGGAACACCAGUGGCGAAGGCGACUAUCUGGCACAUAACUGACGCUGAGGAGCGAAAGCGUGGGUAGCAAACAGGAUUAGAUACCCCUGUAGUC
rnacentral:rRNA from 1 species